rnacentral:lncRNA from 1 species
CUCAGGUUUCAGACCCCAGGAUGAUCCCAAGUAGGGCUUUGUCCCAGCGUUCUCCAGAAGACAGGUUCUGGGGAAUGUCUCACGCUGCGCCCUAGCAUGGCGGCAAAGUGGAAGACUGGGCAGGUGUGUGAAGGAAGAUAGAACCUCAUAAACUCUUGUUACAGAAACCAGUCCAGCUCUGCAAGACUGAGAAUCCACUCAGUGAAGAUGCAAUUAUGAAGGCGGAAAAGGCACCCGAGUGAGGUCUUUGCAGAUCCUGGCAGGCUUCGUUCCUUUGAUCCUGGCAGAUGUACUUCCAUUGUCUCAGCCAGGAAGCAGACCCUGGAGCAGAUGUGGUCUCAUAGCUCAGCCACCAUCUUCUUGACACAACAGCCAUUGCUAACCUUGGGUGGAAAUUGCUACAGCAGAAGAGAAGAAAAGGACACCCGCCCCCCAAUGCUAUGAAGUUCAAGUUACUUGGAGAGUAAACCAGUCAUAAACGAAGCCUUCAAAGAAAACCUGUACUAGGGAAGCCCUGGAAAAAUACUUUCAUUAUUAAAAUAGCUUUGCUAAAAUUGUUCCCCAUUUUGACUUAAAGUGAGACACAUUUCACAGUAUUUCCAAG